AGCUAUAUGAAUUAAUAUAUAGUUACUUCUGCUCCAUGAUUAUUAAAUAGCCGCAGUACUCUGACUGUGCAAAGGUAGCAUAAUCAGUUGGCUUUUAAUUAAAGUCUGGUAUGAACGAAAGUAUGGGUGGAAACUGUCUUAGUAUAUUGAUUUGAACUUAUUAAGCAAGUGCAAAUACUUGCAAGUUUAAAAAAGACGAGAAGACCCUAGAAACUUGGAGUAGUUUUUGUUGGGGCGACAGAAUUACAUUUAACUAAUUCUUAUGACAUGACAUUAAAUUGGUAGAAUAAGUUACUCUAGGGAUAACAGCAUAAUUUUAACAGUUUGUGACCUCGAUGUUGGACUAGGUAUUAUAUCCUUAAGGCAAGGAUAUAAGAUGCUCUGUUCGAGCAGUUUUACCUACAU
rnacentral:rRNA from 1 species